AUUUAAAUCCCACUCCAAUGGCAGUGAAGGGCACGUUUGCUGGUUGUAACCUGGCUGAGGCACGGGGAGCAGAACUGACUGGUCUGAGGUCGCCCAGCACUGAGGUCUCUGGGCAUCUUCCCCUGCACUAACCACUGCCCUGUGCUGCCUCCGUGGAUCUGCGGCUGCAGGGCUCCGUGGGUAGCUAGACCCCACAGACCAGCGGGGAGGUGCAGCACAACGGGGGCAGAGGUGCACACUGCCAGGCCCCGACAGUCGCCCCAGGCCGUGACGUGCACUGAGCUUCCCUAAUGCUCUUUUCUUUCUCUCGGUAGUUGUGUCGCGCUGCAGGACUCACAGGUAGGAGGGAACUUCACCCUGAUCCCCAGCUCCAUUCUGGGGCUGCUCCCCAGGUGAUGCCCAGGUCUGGGAGGGGGGCUCAUUGCUGUCCUGCCUGGGACUCUGCCCUGGGGAGCUGACCUGGGCCAUACCCCCCAGCUACCCACAACGCAAAUGCUCCUGGGGUUUUGAGGGGCCUGACCCUUGUCUGGGAACGUUGUCUCCCCCUGCCCUAGUGAUGGCGAUGGUGCUGCUGCCCUCCUGCCCCCAUGGCAAAUGGCAGCAGGGCCCUGCCCCCGGCGCCUGGUGCUGCACAUGGGACUGACACAGCUCUCGUUCCACACAGGGAUCCCAGCCCAGACCGGAGCAGCCUGGCUGCUGAAGAUCAGAUCCAGUAUGCCGAGGUCACUAGAGUCGGAACUGCCCAGCAGCCCAGAGUGGACAGGAACGUGGCAGUGACGUACGCGGUGGUGGGACAGGGCGGCUCUCGAGUACAGGACACCCGGCCAGCUCCAUAGCACUGGGAUUCCCAGUGCCCCACAAGCCUGCGUGAGCCCCACACUCGCUGCCAGCCUGAGCAGAGCCGUGGGAAGGAGACAGUGAUGGAGCCUGUUAACCAGCCAGCGAGAAGCAGCGUUUGGGUCAGUCAAUGGCACAGGGGAAGCUCCGACACUUCGUGGGCAGCGGCAGCCGGGUGUGGCCGAGGCCGGGCUUCGCGUCACAACCCAUUGUUAUAGUUACGACAGAACCUUCCUGGCCGAAGUUCCCACCCCGGAGGCCUGCACAUAAAAUCCCCUCGGUGACUGUGCAUGCAGAGCGACAGGCAGAGCGACAGGCGGCCACAAGCCAUUUGCACAGGCAGCUGCCUGACGUGCACACCUGGUCGUGGGGAAUGCAAAUGUAGGGUACCAAAUGGGUUUAAAUGUGGCCUGAAACGGCUCCUGCAUUUACUGAAUAUCCAGGACGCAGAUGCUGAGCCAAAUGUCUCUGGUGUAAGCCUCAUGGAGGGGGUGGGGAGAGAGGCAGCGUGGGGAUGCCUGCGUGGGUGUAGGUGUGUCAGAGACACGCUGUGAUGCUGCUAUGGGGGGAUGUGCUGGAGUCUGUGCUGAGCCUCUGAGCAUGUGCAGGGUGAACAAGGGGGCAGAUUUUUGAAGGUAUUGAAGUGCCUAACUCCCAUGGAUGUCAGUGAGAGUUAGGUGCCUGAGCCCCUUUAAAUAGUGACCCAAGGGGUCUCUGGCAGGCUGGGUCUGAGCUGGCUCCUGUGCAGUAAAUAAAGUGCUUUGCCUUUUCUCUGCCCAACCUGCCUCCUGGGAGCGUCGCUAAGCAUCAACUAGUGCCAGGUGUUACGAUGAGACACACAUGGAGCAAUUAUCUCCCUGAGUCCACUGGGGACCUGGGGAAACUUGGCAGUGACACAGGUUAGGUUCAAGCAGUGUUUUCUCAUCCCCAUGGGGCCGCAGAGACACGCAGAUGCAGAGAGUCGUGAACAUCACAGAU